rnacentral:lncRNA from 10 species
CUGCCUCAGCCUCCCCAGUAGCUGGGACUACAGGGGCCCGCCACCACGCCUGGCUAAUUUUUUGUAUUUAUAGUAGAGACGGGGUUUCACCAUGUUAGCCAGGAUGGUCUCGAUCUCCUGACUUUGUGAUCUGCCUGCCUCAGCCUCUCAAUGUGCCGGGAUUACAGGCGUGAGCCACUGCGCCCAGCCUGAGACAAGUUUUUCUACAAAAUGUAAUGACAUUAAGGUAAUAUGAAGAGACAUGAUCCUCAUCUUUAUGUAACUGGAGUUCAGGUAUUCAUUACGCUCAACAAUAUCAACCUUUUAUGAUGCUAUUUUGUUGAAUGUGAUGAAUGCCACUGAUAAUAGGACAUUUAAUUCCAUUUAGAAUAUCUGUAUUUCCAAGUAAAGUCCUAAAUCUGCCAGGGUGGAGAUUUAUCCAUGGUAAAGUCUAUUCAAUCCAGAUAUAAAAAAGAUAGAGAUUGAGGGCCAGGCGCGGUGGCUCACACCUGUAAUCCCAGCACUUUGGGAGGCCGAGGUGGGCGGAUCACAAGGUCAGGAGAUCAAGACCAGCCUGGCCAACAUGGUGAGACCCUGUCUCUACUAAAAAUACAAAAAUUAGCUGGGCAUGGCGGCACGUGCCUGUAAUCCCAGCCACUUGGGAGGCUGAAGCAGAAGAAUUGCUUGAACGGGGACCCGGGAGGCAGAGGCUGUUGUGAGCUGAGAUUGCACCACUGCACUCCAGCCUGGGCUACAGAGCGAGACUCUGUCUCAAAAAAAAAAAAAAAAAAAAAAAAAAAGAGAGAUUAAAGACAUUUAAAAAAAAGAUUACAAAGAAGAAACUGCAAAGCAAAAUCACAAUGAGAUAUUACUUCACACCCAGUAGGAUGACUAAACUAAAAAAGGUAAGUGUUGGUGAGAAUGUGGAGAAAUUGGAACCCUCAUACAUUGCUGGUAGAAAUAUAAAAUGCUGCAGCUGCUUUGGAAAAGUCUGGCAGUUCCUCAAAAAAUUAAACAGUUACCUCAUGACCCGGCAAUUCUACUCGAGAAUUGAAAAGAUGUUAAUAUAAAAUGUAUACAAAAAUGUUCACAGCAGCAUUAUUCUUAUAAAGCCACGGAGUGGAGACAACCCAAAUGUCCAUGAACAGAUGGACAAAAAAAAAAUAUGCGGUAUAUCCAUGUCAGUAGUCGGCCAUAAAAAGGAACAGUCUUAGACAUGGUACAGCACAGAUGCACCUUAAAAAUGCUGGCUGGGGACAGGCGCAGUGGCUCACACCUGUAAUCCCAGCACUUUGGGAGGCUGAGGCGGGCAGAUCACGAGGUCAGGAGAUAGAGACCAUCCUGGCUAACAAGGUGGAACCCCAUCUCUACUAAAAAUACAAAAAACUAGCUGGGCAUGGUGGCUGCUGCCUGUAGUCCCAGCUACUCAGGAGGC